GAUGAACGCUGGCGGCGUGCCUAAUACAUGCAAGUCGAGCGAACGGACGAGAAGCUUGCUUUUCUGAUGUUAGCGGCGGACGGGUGAGUAACACGUGGAUAACCUACCUAUAAGACUGGGAUAACUUCGGGAAACCGGAGCUAAUACCGGAUAAUAUUUUGAACCGCAUGGUUCAAAAGUGAAAGACGGUCUUGCUGUCACUUAUAGAUGGAUCCGCGCUGCAUUAGCUAGUUGGUAAGGUAACGGCUUACCAAGGCAACGAUGCAUAGCCGACCUGAGAGGGUGAUCGGCCACACUGGAACUGAGACACGGUCCAGACUCCUACGGGAGGCAGCAGUAGGGAAUCUUCCGCAAUGGGCGAAAGCCCGACGGAGCAACGCCGCGUGAGUGAUGAAGGUCUUCGGAUCGUAAAACUAUGUUAUUAGGGAAGAACAUAUGUGUAAGUAACUGUGCACAUCUUGACGGUACCUAAUCAGAAAGCCACGGCUAACUACGUG
rnacentral:rRNA from 1 species